GCCAACUUUGGGUUGAUGCUUUAA
rnacentral:siRNA from 1 species